rnacentral:rRNA from 1 species
UACGUAGGGGGCUAGCGUUGUCCGGAAUCAUUGGGCGUAAAGCGCGCGUAGGCGGCCAGAUAAGUCCGGUGUGAAAGUCAAAGGCUCAACCUUUGAAUGCCGCUGGAAACUGUCUGGCUAGAGUCCGGAAGAGGAGAGUGGAAUUCCUGGUGUAGCGGUGAAAUGCGCAGAUAUCAGGAAGAACACCAAUGGCGAAAGCAGCUCUCUGGGACGGUACUGACGCUGAGACGCGAAAAGCGUGGGGGAGCGAACAGG